rnacentral:rRNA from 1 species
GAUGAACGCUGGCGGCGUGCCUAAUACAUGCAAGUCGAGCGAACAGACGAGGAGCUUGCUCCUCUGACGUUAGCGGCGGACGGGUGAGUAACACGUGGAUAACCUACCUAUAAGUCUGGGAUAACUUCGGGAAACCGGAGCUAAUACCGGAUAAUAUAUUGAACCGCAUGGUUCAAUAGUGAAAGACGGUUUUGCUGUCACUUAUAGAUGGAUCCGCGCCGUAUUAGCUAGUUGGUAAGGUAACGGAUUACCACGGCAACGAUGCGUAGCCGACCUGAGAGGGUGAUCAGCCACACAGGAACUGAGACACGGUCCAGACUCCUACGGGAGGCAGCAGUAGGGAAUCUUCCGCAAUGGGCGAAAGCCUGACGGAGCAACGCCGCGUGAGUGAUGAAGGUCUUCGGAUCGUAAAACUCUGUUAUUAGGGAAGAACAAAUGUGUAAGUAACUAUGCACGUCUUGACGGUACCUAAUCAGAAAGCCACGGCUAACUACGUG